ACGGACUUAAUCCGUUGGCUUUAAUAGACCUUGAGGGUUCAAGUCCCUCUACCCCCAUUA
rnacentral:tRNA from 1 species